UACGAAGGGGGCUAGCGUUGCUCGGAAUCACUGGGCGUAAAGGGCGCGUAGGCGGGCGGUCAAGUCGGGGGUGAAAUCUUUCCGCUUAACGGGAAGCGUGCCUCCGAUACUGAUCGCCUCGAGGGAGGUAGGGGCAUGUGGAACUUCCGGUGGAGCGGUGAAAUGCGUAGAUAUCGGAAGGAACGCCGGUGGCGAAAGCGACGUGCUGGACCUCUUCUGACGCUGAGGCGCGAAAGCUAGGGGAGCAAACGGG
rnacentral:rRNA from 1 species